GACGAACGCUGGCGGCGUGCUUAACACAUGCAAGUCGAACGAUGAAGACGGAGCUUGCUCUGGUGAAUUAGUGGCGAACGGGUGAGUAACACGUGAGUAACCUGCCCUUGACUCUGGGAUAACUGCUAGAAAUGGUAGCUAAUACCGGAUACGACCCUCGGCGGCAUCGCCAGGGGGUGGAAAGAAUUUCGGUCAAGGAUGGACUCGCGGCAUAUCAGCUAGUUGGUGAGGUAACGGCUCACCAAGGCGACGACGGGUAGCCGGCCUGAGAGGGUGACCGGCCACACUGGGACUGAGACACGGCCCAGACUCCUACGGGAGGCAGCAGUGGGGAAUAUUGCACAAUGGGCGCAAGCCUGAUGCAGCAACGCUGCGUGAGGGAUGACGGCCUUCGGGUUGUAAACCUCUUUUAGUAGGGAAGAAGCGAAAGUGACGGUACCUGCAGAAAAAGCACCGGCUAACUACGUGCCAGCCGCCGCCGUAA
rnacentral:rRNA from 1 species